GGGGCGGUCGCCUAGCGGGAUGGCACCUCCCUUGCACGGAGGAAUAACAGGGGUUCGAAUCCCCUCCGCUCCACCA
rnacentral:tRNA from 1 species